rnacentral:rRNA from 1 species
ACGCCGGGGAUAACAGGCUGAUACCCCCCAAGAGUUCACAUCGACGGGGGUGUUUGGCACCUCGAUGUCGGCUCAUCACAUCCUGGGGCUGUAGCCGGUCCCAAGGGUAUGGCUGUUCGCCAUUUAAAGUGGUACGCGAGCUGGGUUUAGAACGUCGUGAGACAGUUUGGUCCCUAUCUGGUGUGGGCGUUAGAAACUUGAGAGGAGCUGCUCCUAGUACGAGAGGACCGGAGUGGACGUACCUCUGGUGUUCCAGUUGUCAUGCCAAUGGCAUUGCUGGGUAGCUAUGUACGGACGGGAUAACCGCUGAAAGCAUCUAAGCGGGAAGCCCCCCUCAAGAUUAGGUUUCUCUGGACCUUUAAGGUCCCUAAAGGGUCGUUGUAGACCACAACGUUGAUAGGCGGGGUGUGGAAGUGCAGUAAUGCAUUAAGCUAACCCGUACUAAUUGCCCGUGAGGCUUGAUCAUAUAACACCCAAGAAG